UUUUUUUCCCCCAUAUUUUUGUGCUUUGUCUUAAAGAUUUUUAUAGAUAUUUAGAAACUUAUAUAACCAAAAAUGAUCAGUAAAACAAGAUCUACAUAUAAGUGAAAUGGAUUGUUGAAGAUAUGAAUUAACCUAGUUACAUCACACAGGCCCUUUAAAGACUCUUGUUUGAUGCAUCAAUAGAUCAAAUGAUAGUACCCCACUUGCUUCAAAUGAACAACACUACACAUUGUAAUGG
rnacentral:lncRNA from 1 species